rnacentral:rRNA from 1 species
GAUUUAUAUUUAUUAUCUUUAUUACAGUACAUUAUUGUAAUAUAAGAAUAUAAUAAAAUAAAUCAUCAUCGAAAAGAUUAUAUUUUGGUCAUUUAUUUGUCUAGUAUAAGAUUUUCGUCAUUUACUGUGAGUAAAAUAGAGUGUUCAAAGCAGGCUUAAGCUGUUGAAUAUAUUAGCAUGGAAUAAUAAGAUAAGACCUUGGUCGUUAAUAAUAUUAUGUAUGUAAUAUUAAAUUUUGUUGGUUUAUUGUUAUCAAGGUA